rnacentral:snoRNA from 1 species
GUUUUGAAUGAUGACUCUCUUAAAAAGUCGGAUACCCCUUCACUCUUACUAUGAGUGAGAAUAAUAGUCUGACAAAC